CCGAAUCAUCCACUGACUCACAGCGCACAUCAAUUAUUUUAUCAACAGAACAUCAGUAAAACACGGCUUUCUCUGCCCAUUCUGGCCAUUUUUGCACAACAAUGAUGUUCCUGACACCCCAUGAAAUCGACGGAAAGUCAAAGGUCACCAGAUCACGUGCCAUCUGAAAUGGAUUACCCCCUAAUCCCCUGUUUUCAUGCGAAACCGAUGCCGAUGGAGACCGAAUCAAGACAGCAUCGAAAUGUUUACUUCUGGGAAACACGCCAGCCAACUUUCGCAGAAAAUCUGACAGAAAAUUUCCUGGUAGGACGGCGCGGAUUGCUUUGUUGGUGACACGGUGCUGAUGUAGACAUGGACCGCCCGCCAUGAUCGUCUGCAUCCCGCCAUCUGACCGACCGGAGAAUUGGCAAGAUGGCGGCCAGGGAUCAUCUGCCGUGGGACUCGUCUUUACUAAUCUAGACGCAGAAUACAUGGAUGGAACGUCCAGUUAGUGAGGAGAGGACAUCAGCUAACAGCUAACCAGUGCAACACGAAGAACAGGCUGUAAAGGCAUCAAAUGUAAAUCAUGUCGUCCCACGACAACAUGGCGGCUGACCUUCGGCCCGUUUUGCGGCAGGUUUCCAGGACCCCACGACGCCAUAACGAGACGUCCGAGUGCGCACAGUUUGAGAUUAAAACGGGAUCUCUGACAGGAGCCGUGCAGAGAAAGCAUGAAUGAUGGGCUAAUGCCUACUGGAUUAGCUGUAAAGUAGCGAGCCCCUGCUAACUGAUAACAUGAAGAAUGAAAAGUGUAUCGUAUAUUGAUAGGCAAGUUUUCCUAUAACAAUAUGGAAGUGUCAAGAGUUUCGAUUUUCAAUACGUUUCUGAUACUCUCUGACUGAUUAGUUAGGCAAAACAUAUAGUAUUCCCUCAGGUUUCCAUAUGCACGAAUUGAAGUAAACGAUGCUAAUCGAAGCUACUGCCUAUUACCUACUUUCCACGGCUUCUUAAAUGGUGGGAAAAGUAUGGAUUUUGCAGUGAAUGUGACAAUUGUGAGUUCAUAGUGAUCAAUAUGUACCGGUAGGCUGUAUACGCCAGAGGGCGCAGCUGCAAUGAUCAACACGUGUGUGGUUUCCUUACCGGAGUUCAGUUGUGAUUCUGUUUGACGUUAUCGAUUUCUUUCUUCUUAAAACUACGGGC